UACGGGGGGAGCAAGCGUUGUUCGGAUUUACUGGGCGUAAAGGGCGCGUAGGCGGCCAGCACAAGUCAGUUGUGAAAUCUCCGAGCUUAACUCGGAAAGGUCAACUGAUACUGUGCGGCUAGAGUGCGGAAGGGGCAACUGGAAUUCUUGGUGUAGCGGUGAAAUGCGUAGAUAUCAAGAGGAACACCUGCGGCGAAGGCGGGUUGCUGGGCCGACACUGACGCUGAGGCGCGAAAGCCAGGGGGAGCGAACGGGG
rnacentral:rRNA from 1 species